CCAGCAGCCGCGGUAAUACCAGCUCCACUAGCUUAUACAAUCAUUGUUGCGGUUAAGAGGCUCGUAGUUGGAUUGAAUAAACAUAUAUACACAAUACUGUGAACAAACCAGAGUGUAUAAAACAUGUAAUAUAUUAUAUAUUUAGCAAUGAAUGUUUUAUCAUGGAAUAUUGCUUAAAUAUUAAUAUCGAUGGAGAUAGUUGGAGUUAAGAGUACUGAUAGGCGAGCGGUGAAAUGCAUUGACCCUAUUAAGACUAACAAAAGCGAAAGCACUUAACUAGAUUAUUCUCUUUGUAUUAUUUUACAAUGAAGAGCGAAGGUUGGGGGAACAAAGAGGAUCAGAUACCCUCGUAGUCCUAUUUUUACAUCAAACUAUGGGAUUUCAUUCACACUAAACACUAAACAUUAUAAUUAUAAUUAUGAUUGAGUAAUCAAAAGUUACUCUCAUAUUAAAUAAUUAUUAUAUAUAUGAUUAUAUGUACUUUGAGCUCAUAUAAUUAUAUAGGUGAGAUGUAAGCAUUAUAAAGUGAAUAAUAUACAAGUAAUAUUGUAUUAUUAUGAUCUUUAAAAUAAAAAAUGUAAUGUGAUGCACGUUUUAGGUACGAGCUUACUAUAGAAAUAUUUAAAAUAAUACCCUCCUGGGGUAGUAUGCACGCAAGUNNGAAACUUGAAGGAAUUGACGGAAGGGCACCACAAGAACGCGUGGAGCAUGUGGCUUAAUUUGACUCAACCCGGGAAAUCUUACCAGGUCCAGACAUAUUGAGGAUUGACAGGCGAUAGUAUAUAAUAUUAUAUGCAUAAAAAUGAUAGUCCUUUCAUGAUUAUAUGAUAGGUGGUGCAUGGCCGUUCUUAGUUCGUGGAGUGAUUUGUCUGCUUAAUUGCGUUUCAGUAAAUAAAAUAUAUAAUAUAUUAUAAUAUUUAGUUCUGCCAUGCAUAUUGUAUGGAUUUAAAGUGAACAUAUUAUAUAUAUUAUUAUAUAAUAAAUGAAUGCA
rnacentral:rRNA from 1 species